AACACAUGCAAGUCGAGGGGCAGCGGGGAGGUUGCUUGCAACCUCCGCCGGCGACCGGCGCACGGGUGAGUAACACGUAUGCAACUUGCCCAUCGCAGGGGGAUAAUCCGGAGAAAUCCGGUCUAAUACCGCGUAAUAACCCAUGGGGGCAUCCCCGAGGGUUCAAAGGAAGCGAUUCCGGCGAUGGAUAGGCAUGCGGCGCAUUAGUUAGUUGGUGAGGUAACGGCUCACCAAGGCGACGAUGCGUAGGGGUUCUGAGAGGAAGGUCCCCCACACUGGUACUGAGACACGGACCAGACUCCUACGGGAGGCAGCAGUGAGGAAUAUUGGUCAAUGGGCGCAAGCCUGAACCAGCCAAGUCGCGUGAGGGAAGACGGUUCUAUGGAUUGUAAACCUCUUUUGUCAGGGAGCAAGAAGGCCACGCGUGGCCCGGCGAGAGUACCUGAAGAAAAAGCAUCGGCUAACUCCGUGCCAGCAGCCGCGGUAAUACGGAGGAUGCGAGCGUUAUCCGGAUUUAUUGGGUUUAAAGGGUGGGUUAGGCGGACUGUUAAGUCAGUGGUAAAAUUGAGAGGCUCAACCUNUUCGAGCCAUUGAAACUGGCGGUCUUGAGUGGGCGAGAAGUAUGCGGAAUGCGUGGUGUAGCGGUGAAANGCAUAGAUAU
rnacentral:rRNA from 1 species